UGCACGAAACCGAACAUGAUUUCUAGCUCACGCACGCCGCCGCCGCCGCGUCCGAUUUCUUCAGGAGCCCUACUCCGAAUACACCACUUCCCCAAGCCCCAUGUCCUAUAUAUACCCUGGGACCUCCUCUCCCAAUUCCCCUCGAAACCCUUCACCAAAACCCACCGUAUUGUCCGCUAUCGCCGUUCCAAUCUCGCCACAGAAGUUGCAGUUCAUCGCCGGAUUCCGACGCCGAUCCUGCCAAGAAAAGAGGACGGGGGGAAGUGGGAUUUGGGGCAGAGUGCGGUGGCUGCAGCCUGCAAGCUCCCGGCGGCGGCACGUCGUCUAGCUCGACCACACGUGCCUGCUGCUCGCUGCCGUCGUCGAUUUGAUGGACAUGGAUUUGGGUCCACUUGAACCUGAGCGGUGGCACUCCUCCAGUGUAGAAAUUUUCUGUUGGAGAGAAGGAUUUUGCGCCCCAAAGCAGCAAGGCUGCGAGGCAAAGCGGUUUCGUUUCCCUGAGUGGCGUUGCUCUCCUAUUUGUGGCACUGGCUGAGAGCUAGGAUAUAAUUUAUAGUUAUGUGACUUGCCAUUAAGGAUCCAUUAAGGACAUUUCAAAUCUGAAGCAUCCAUUAAGGAUCCAACGGCUCUAACUUCAUUUUUCUAUUCUUCUAUCCUAUGGCCAGUUUCUAUUGUAGUCUUCCCCACCAUAUAUUAGCAAUUUAUAUUAACAGUAGCUCUAUUUAAGACAAAGGAAGAAUGCUUGCAUGUAUUAACUGAAUUUGGCCCAUAUAUGUUAAUUGAUAUGCAAUAGAUUUUAGAUUUUUCACAUGUGUUGUUUUUCGACAAAUUCACAUGUGUUGUAGGAGAUGCCUCUAAUACUAAAGCUUUUCUCAUUGUUCUCUUCAAUCGAAAAGGCUGUAGAAUAGAAGGGUUAUUUCCAAGAACAUUAAACUCACAAAAGUGCAUGUAUGAAUGUAUUUCGAAUAAUUACAAUUUGACAUGCUUCUCAUAGUGCUAACUUUUGACCCUUAUCUAAUAACUGUCCCCCUUAUACUGAUCGAUGUCAAGCAUUAUUUCUCUAUCUCAGUAAACAUAAAUGGUUUGCUUGGUGCUAAUCAGAUCUUGCCAUCCAAUAAGCUUAGCAAUUUUUACAUACCACUGUUAUUAGUGCAGAGUAAAUAUAAUAUGGAAGUUCUCAAUCAAAUUAGCAGAAUAUGCUUACCAGGUGUAGAUAUGUACCACAAUUUUCGCAGUAACACCUUCCAUUUCCCUUUGUACGUAAUUAGUUUGUGUCAACCGGAAUUUGAUCAUUUGAAUAUUUUCGUGUAAUAGAUUAUUAUACCUAUUGUUGUGAAAAACAAAAUCCUAAAAUAAUCACCCAAAAAAUUAAAGUUAGCAUCCCGAAGAAGUUGACAGACAAAUAAUUCAGAUAUGAUUCCAUUAUAACUGAUAUGACUCAAUUAUCUGAAAAGCACUGCAGGUCUGAGAGUGUCGUUUUCCUCAAGAAGUGGUGAUAUCAUAUCUUAGAAGAAGUUUGAUCCAUCACCUGAUGUGUCUGGUUUUUGUGCCUCAUUCCAGUGAGAGGCAGCUCAGAAGACCUUUGCUGACUUCAUCUGGCAUUGAGAUGCAGUCACAUCGGAGUUUUGGCGUUUUUUAUAUUUUUCUAGCAUCACAGAGCCGACAAUCUUUGAUUUUGUUGGUGGUGCUCUAGUCGGAUAGUAGAGUUGUUCUGUAGUCUUUGAUUUUGUUGGUGGUGCUCUAGCCGGGUAGCAGAUUCUGGAAGACUUCAAUUUUCUCGGUGGUGCUCUGAUCGGGUAGCAGAUUUACACACAUCAAUUUGUCCAGAAUUGGUUGGAUUUGACUAUCGUUUUCCUUUGAGGGGGUGCUACAAAUCAUCCGGAUGAUUUUGUCCAAAAUUAAGCCGCCUCCUAAUCCGUCCGAUUUGACGUUUCACAUCCGUAGGAUCAGGAAGCUCCCCCGUGGCAGCACCAAAGCAGCAGCUCUUAUGGCAGUAGCUCCCAUGCCAGCACCGACGGUGCCCUACGGUGCUUCAAUGCAACCCCUGCCGGAGCUCCGAUGACACCCCAUCGCUUCACUGCAGCUCCGGCGGUGCUUCAUUGCAACUCCGGCGGCGCUUUAACGACCCCUAUGACGCUUCAUUGCAACUCCGGCAGUGCUACAUUGCAACCCUGACGAUGUUUCGUUGCAGCACCAACAUCGGCGCCGCAGUGCUCCAUGGCAGCAUCCUGACGCCGCCGGCGAAGCUUCACUGCAGCACCAUCGCCAUGCGCCGGUGCUUCAUCGUAUCACCGGCUGCUCCGUCGAAACUCCACCGCAGCACCUGAUGGCCGCCGGCGAAGCUUCAGUGCAGCGCAGCGCGACGGCCACGAGGUGCUGUGAUGAAGCACGACGGCGACCGCGGAGGCUGCGACGCAGCGCGGGGCGACGGAGAUGCUGCGACGCAGCAGGCGGGUGGUGACGGCAUGACGGCGGAUCUUGAAGCAGCAGCCGCAUGAUGCACGCGGUGGUCGGAGGGGACGCCGUCCUUCGCGGCUGGUUGCUGGAGAAAAGUGAAUCGACAGGAAGGGGACGAGAAGGUCGUUGGAGUUCUUGUUGGAGAUAAGGAUAAGGGAACGGAGUGAGGCGUCGGAGAGGCCGGGUUCCAUGGAGCCCGUUUUAUCAAAAAAAAAUCAGAAUAUACUUAAAAGUUUCAAAAAAUAUCAAAUCUUUUUAUACAAAUACAUAUGACUGUUCGUCAAGUUACAAAAAAGUUUCAUCAGGUAAUUUGAUUAUUUACAUGCUACACAAAAAAGAUAAAUAUUUGGCCCAAAAACGACAAAGAUAAAGCCCAUUUUAAUCUGUGUAUUUAUCUUUUUUGUAUACAUUACAUGUUAACAUAUAUGUUCAUGAAAUUUUAUACAUGUAUACUACAAAUAAACAUCUAUGUAUAUACUUUUUUA